UAGCGGCGGACGGGUGAGUAAUGCUUAGGAAUCUGCCUAUUAAUGGGGGGACAACAUUCCGAAAGGGAUGCUAAUACCGCAUACGCCCUACGGGGGAAAGCAGGGGGAUCAGUGAUGACCUUGCGUUAAUAGAUGAGCCUAAGUCGGAUUAGCUAGUUGGUGGGGUAAAGGCCUACCAAGGCGACGAUCUGUAGCGGGUCUGAGAGGAUGAUCCGCCACACUGGGACUGAGACACGGCCCAG
rnacentral:rRNA from 1 species